GUAGGUGGCAAGCGUUGUCCGGAAUUAUUGGGCGUAAAGCGCGCGCAGGUGGUUCUUCAAGUCUGAUGUGAAAGCCCCCGGCUCAACCGGGGAGGGUCAUUGGAAACUGGGGAACUUGAGUGCAGGAGAGGAAAGUGGAAUUCCACGUGUAGCGGUGAAAUGCGUAGAUAUGUGGAGGAACACCAGUGGCGAAGGCGACUUUCUGGCCUGUAACUGACACUGAGGCGCGAAAGCGUGGGGAGCAAACAGGGAUUAGAUACCCUGGUAGUCCACGCCGUAAACGAUGAGUGCUAAGUGUUGGGGGGGUUUCCCGCCCCUCAGUGCUGCAGCUAACGCAUUAAGCACUCCGCCUGGGGAUACGGUCGCAAGACUG
rnacentral:rRNA from 1 species